UUACAAUUAAUUAGUUUUUUCAAUAGAAAUUUUUGUGUAUGAAAAAAAAUGGAGAAGACUCUUAUGAAAUCUGCAAUAUUUGUUAAGGCCCUAUUGCUAAUCAUCAUGGUUGCAGAAAUUUCAUCCAAUAAGGUUGCAGACGAAGAAGUGAUUGUUUUUAUUGUGUAUUUUCCAUAGAUGUUAUUGCAUUGGCAAGUCCAAGUUUGAAGUGGCGUUAAACCCAAGAAUUAAUAUAAAGAUGAAAAUUUAUUCACAUGAAUCGAGUGGAGAAUCAUUUUUUAUGGUCGAUCUAUCGACUCUUAUCAUGUAUGUUUCAAUUUCCUAAAUAAAUGUGAACUUCAAAAUUCUUGUUCUGUUUA